AGCUCAAGUGUACAGUUGAAGGUUGUGACCGGACAUUUGUAUGGCCAGCUCACUUUAAAUACCACCUCAAGACUCAUCGAAAUGACCGCUCCUUCAUCUGUCCUGCAGAAGGUUGUGGGAAAAGCUUCUAUGUGCUGCAGAGGCUGAAGGUGCACAUGAGGACCCACAAUGGAGAGAAGCCCUUUAUGUGCCAUGAGUCUGGCUGUGGUAAGCAGUUUACUACAGCUGGAAACCUGAAGAACCACCGGCGCAUCCACACAGGAGAGAAACCUUUCCUUUGUGAAGCCCAAGGAUGUGGCCGUUCCUUUGCUGAGUAUUCUAGCCUCCGAAAACAUCUGGUGGUUCACUCAGCUGAGCCACUGAUGGGCAGUAGUUUGCUUGAAGAGGCUUCAGUACCCAGUAAAAACCUGGUGUCUGUGAAUUCCCAGCCCAGCCUUGGUGGAGAGUCCUUGAACCUACCAAAUACCAAUUCUAUCCUGGGAGUUGAUGAUGUUAUGGAAGAACUUAACUUUUAAAACAUUUAAACAGAACAUAACCAGGUUUUACAGAGGAGAUAUAAAGCAAUUUCUCCAUACCUUCAAAAGCCAUAUCUUCUGGAGAAAAGAAAGGGCUCUCUAGGAAACACUUGCUCCUCUCUGGUAUAGAAAUUUCACCCAAGUUACACAGGCCAGGCCCUCUUCUCUGAAAAACUUAACAGGUGAGGUCAGCAUGCAUUUAUUCAGUGCCUACUGUGUGCCUGGCACCAUGGGAAAGACAAAAGUAGAAGAUAGGGACCUUAAAAUCCAGUUGAGAAGUGAAAGCUUACAUAUAUAUGGGAAAGAACAUUGAGUACAUAAAAGAUAGUAU
rnacentral:sRNA from 1 species